ACUUUGAUGACACACACGCAUUUCAAGGUUGCUUGGCGCAGAAAAACGAUCCCGAUUCGCUUCUUCUCUGCUUAGCUGUAUCGCAACAGUUUCACUUCCCCCCUCGUUUUUCCCUUCGGCUCCAUCCUAGUCUCCUCUGACGCCUGUCUCCUUGCUCUUUAGACAGUGAAUCAUGCCGAUUGACAGCGUUACCUCAAGCCGAAUCGUUGCCCGGGGCUCUGUCAUCGGAGCCAGAUUUAUGUCUUCAUGGUGGCGGAGCAUCGAACCUGCUCCCAAGGAUCCGAUUCUCGGAGUUACCGAAGCUUUCCUCGCUGAUCAGAGUCCUAACAAAGUCAAUGUUGGAGUUGGUGCCUAUCGCGAUGACAAUGGAAGGCCUGUGGUUCUUGAUUGUGUCAGAGAAGCUGAGCGCAGGAUAGCUGGAAAUGAAUACAUGGAGUAUCUUCCUAUUGGUGGGAGCAUAAAGAUGGUAGAAGAAUCAUUGAAGCUGGCUUAUGGAGAGAACUCUGAGUUCGUCAAAAAUAAAAGAAUAGCUGCAGUGCAGUCUCUGUCUGGGACUGGUGCAUGCCGACUUUUUGCGGCAUUUCAACAGCGUUUUCAUCCUGACUCCCAAAUCUAUUUGCCAAUCCCUACGUGGUCCAACCACCAUAACAUUUGGAGGGACGCUGGAGUGCCUAUGAAGACAUUCCGUUACUAUCACCCAGGGACUAGAGGCUUGGAUUUUGCAGCGUUGAUGGAUGAGAUAAAGAAUGCUCCAAACGGCUCAUUCUUUUUGCUUCAUGCUUGUGCUCACAAUCCAACUGGAGUAGAUCCUUCAGAGGAACAAUGGAAAGAGAUAUCUUCCCAAUUCAAGUUAAAAGGCCAUUUCCCCUUCUUUGACAUGGCAUAUCAAGGUUUUGCUAGUGGCAAUCCAGAGAAAGAUGCAAAGGCUAUCAAGAUUUUUCUUGAUGAUGGCCAUUUAAUAGGACUUGCUCAGUCAUACGCCAAAAAUAUGGGAUUGUAUGGCCAGCGUGUAGGAUGCCUGAGCUUGGUUUGCGAAGAUGAAAAACAAGCUGUGGCUGUAAAAAGUCAGCUGCAGCUGCUUGCGAGACCGAUGUAUAGUAAUCCGCCUGUUCAUGGGGCACGCAUAGUUUCAACUGUCCUUGGUGACCCAGAGUUGAAAAAGUUAUGGCUCAAAGAAGUUAAGAUUUUCUUCAGUGGCAUGGCUAGUCUGAUCCACGCCAUGAGAAGAACUGUAAAGGUUCAACCAACGUUAGGUAAUGGCAGACCGCAUAAUUGGAAUGCGGGCCACCCUACGGGAGUGCUUAGAAAAGCGGGGGUCUCCUUCAUCUUGGCAGCACAUAACCGAUCAGAUUGGCAUGUUUUGCUACACUGGAUUGACACCGGAGCAGGUUGACCGUUUGACGAGCGAAUUUCACAUUUAUAUGACUCGUAAUGGUCGCAUAAGUAUGGCUGGUCUCAAUACGGGCAACGUCGCAUACCUGGCCGACGCCAUUCACGAGGUCACAAAAUCUGCCUAGAUUUUUCUGUUACGUAUUACAUCAAAUCAAAAUUGUCUUAGGGGCGGUACCCAGUAGGGUUAGCUUUGCCCAGUUGAUACCCAAUAAAUUAUGACCCCCUUACCAUUCCUCAAUUAACCAUUAAUGGGGAAGAUCUUCAGGGUCGUAUCCCGCGUAUUUAACACACCUUUGUGGUGUCCUAUCUCCAUUCUUUUACAGUCCUCUCUUCCGUGUUCUUUGGGGGAAAAUUAGAUUUGGGGGAGGGUUUCGCUUUGUAGGAAUAUAAAGUUCGUUCAGAGCAUUGCUUGAACUUCACUCAUCAUAAUCUCAAAGACUUUUGAUUCAA